UACAGAGGGUGCGAGCGUUAAUCGGAAUUACUGGGCGUAAAGCGUGCGUAGACGGUUAUUUAAGUCGGGUGUGAAAGCCCCGGGCUCAACCUGGGAAUUGCAUUCGAGACUGAAUAGCUAGGGUACGGUAGAGGGAAGCGGAAUUUCCGGUGUAGCGGUGAAAUGCGCAGAUAUCGGGAGGAACACCGGUGGCGAAGGCGGUUCUCUGGGCCUGUACUGACGCUGAGGAGCGAAAGCGUGGGGAGCGAACAGG
rnacentral:rRNA from 1 species